GGGCGUAAGCGUGCGUAGGCGGUUCGGUCACGUCAGCCGUGAAAGGCCCUGGGCUUAACCCUGGGAAACGGCGGUUGAGACGGCCAAACUCGAGUGGGCUAGAGGAUCGUGGAAUUCCCGGUGUAGCGGUGAAAUGCGUAGAGAUCGGGAGGAACACCGAUGGCGAAAGCAGCGGUCUGGGGCCACACUGACGCUGAGGCACGAAAGCGUGGGGAGCAAACAGGAUUAGAUACCCUGGUAGUCCACGCGGUAAACGAUGAGCACUAGACGUUGGGGCGGGUGACCGCCCGGUGUCGCAGCUAACGCGCUAAGUGCUCCGCCUGGGGAGUACAGCCGCAAGGUUGAAAACUCAAAGGAAUUGACGGGGGCCCGCACAAGCGGUGGAGCAUGUGGUUUAAUUCGAUGCAACGCGAAGAACCUUACCUGGCCUUGACAUCCGGG
rnacentral:rRNA from 1 species